AAACAAUUAAAUCAACAAUUACAAUAAUUACAGAUUGCAAUACUCUAAUAUAAAAAUAUCUUAAGAUUUUAAGAAAACAAUAAGUAAAAAAUUUCAAUUAUCAUAAUUCCAAUAACCAAACCAGUUUUGGGUAAUUCUUGGUAAUCAUAAUCAGAACAUAUAUUCAAAAAAAUAUGUAUUUAACUCUUGAAAUAUUGCACGUUGAAAAGUAAUUUCCGAUUGAUGCAAUUCUCUGGGCACACUUAAAAAAAUAAACAUAAAAAAAGAACAUCGUAAAAGAGAGAGAUAAAAAGGACAACAUGCUUGAUCGAUACCUUCUAAAAAUCAUUUCUCGCGCGAAGGGCCAACGGGUCCCUGCUCGAGCAGACUUGAAUGAUCUCUCUCAUUCUGGUCCACUGAUCACCAAUCUCC